rnacentral:lncRNA from 1 species
AGAGCUUGCAGGGUCCAUAGGAGGAAUACAGUGAAACAUAAAUUGUAACAAGCCUGAAAUCUCAUGUGAACUACUAUUGAACCAGAACGAGGGAGACUGCAGACAAGAUGUAUAGAACCUGAAAUCUGCACCAUCUGAAUUUGUCACCCAAAUUAACUGCGUGUGUGUCUUUGGACUCUCAGCAAGAAGAAAUUAUUACAGCUUUUAGAUCUAAAUCACAGCUGCUUAAAAUACUAUGACCUUGCAAGGAAAAGGAAGGUCACCUGAAGAAAUCUUUACACACCUCCAAUGUUUCCUGAAGGGACAUUUUGGAUCAGAAGAAAACAGAGAUCUAAUCUAAUGGUAUUUAAAAUGUGUCUUUGCAUUUCCUGCAUAACUGGAUCCUAGCUCAUUAAAGGUAAGACCUUUUUUUGCAAUCCCCUUAGGAGCAGUGCAUAGCAAGGGAAACUGCAUGGUUUGCAC